UACGUAGGCAGCAAACGUUGUUCGGAAUUACUGGGCGUAAAGAGUGUGUAGGCGGUCUUGUAAGUUCUGUGUGAAAUCUCCCGGCUUAACUGGGAGGGUGCGCCGAAUACUGCAAGGCUUGAGUACUGGAGAGGAUAGCGGAAUUCCUGGUGUAGCGGUGAAAUGCGUAGAGAUCCGGAGGAACCCCAGAGGCGAAGGCGGCGUCCUGGCUCGCAUCUGACGCUCAGACACGACAGCAUGGGGAGCGAACGGG
rnacentral:rRNA from 1 species